rnacentral:lncRNA from 1 species
AAUCCUUUCUUUAAUCUUCCAGAAUAUAUAAUGUACAUUUAUUUUAAAGUCUGAAGUUGAUAACUGUAUUAUUCACAUCAUCUAUGAGUCUACUUCCAUUACGUGUUCUAUUUUCCAUUUAUAUCAGCUUGUCUCCUUGUGGGCUUGGUUGUUUUUUAUUGAUUUACUUACACUGUAUUUUAAAAACUAGGCAAAGUGAAUAAUAGGUGUUGCUUGACUACAGUCCCUGAUACAGAGGGAUUAUAUGAGAUGAGACCUAUGAUUGUUCCAUUUUUCCACCGAGGGUAACUUUCUACAAUAUGGAAGAGGAAGAUGAAGCCCAAACACAGCAGAGUGGUUCUGGUGAGCUGAAGAGACAGAGAUCAGAGCUUGGAGGUGCUGAAGAGGCUGGAGUUUGUGGGUCAGCAUGUCAGAGAGACAGGAGGGAGCUACGCAGCUAAAGAGCUCCAGAGAUAUGCAUACAGUCCACUUAAAUCUUUGAACAAAUACUAAUCUGUGCAUGCAAAGAAUGAGACCCCUACUGAGCACGGCAGAGAAGCUGUGAACUGAAUGGAGAUUCUGCAGGCCACACAAUGCUGGGGACAUAGGAGUUCCAACCAGCCAGGGAAAUCUUGGGGAACCACCAGUUUACUCAGUUGACAUCCCCAAAGCCCUUUUUGAAUUGAA